GACGGAGGAUGCAAGCGUUAUCCGGAAUUAUUGGGCGUAAAGCGUCCGCAGGUGGCCUAUCAAGUCUGCUGUCAAAGACCGGGGCUUAACCCCAGAAAGGCAGUGGAAACUGAAAGGCUAGAGGAUGGUAGGGGCAGAGGGAAUUCCCGGUGUAGCGGUGAAAUGCGUAGAUAUCGGGAAGAACACCAAAGGCGAAAGCACUCUGCUGGGCCGAAACUGACACUGAUAGACGAAAGCUAGGGGAGCAAAUGGG
rnacentral:rRNA from 1 species